rnacentral:misc_RNA from 1 species
GGAAGUAAAAGUCAUAACAAGGUUUCCGUAGGUGAACCUGCGGAAGGAUCAUUAUUGUAUAACCGAGGUGCGAGGGCUGUCGCUGACCCGAAAGGUCGUGCACGCCCGAGUGCCCUCACACACAUCCAUCUCACCCCUAUGUGCACCACCGCGUGGGUCCCCCUUUGGCUUGUUCGGAGGGGGGCUUACGUUUUCACACAAACUUUGUAUGCAGAGUAGAAUGUAUUUUUUGUUUUUGCGAUCACGCAAUCAAUACAACUUUCAACAACGGAUCUCUUGGCUCUC